GAUGAAGAACGUAGCGAAAUGCGAUAAGUAAUGUGAAUUGCAGAAUUCAGUGAAUCAUCGAAUCUUUGAACGCACCUUGCGCUCUUUGGUAUUCCGAAGAGCAUGCCUGUUUGAGUGUCAUGAAAAUAUCAACCUUGACUUGGGUUUUGUGCUCUAGUCUCGGCUUGGAAUUGGGUGCUUGCCGCUUUUACGAGCGGCUCACCUUAAAUGUAUUAGCUGGAUCUGUCUUUGAGACUUGGUUAGACUUGGCGUAAUAAGUAUUUCGCUAAGGACAUUCUUCGGAGUGGCCUCGUUUCUAGGACGCUUGUCCGCUUUCCAAUACAAGUUCCACCUCGUGGACAUGACUUUUUAUUAUCUGGCCUCAAAUCAGGUAGGACUACCCGCUGAACUUAAGCAUAUCAAUAAGCGGAGGA
rnacentral:misc_RNA from 1 species